rnacentral:rRNA from 1 species
GAUGAACGCUGGCGGCGUGCCUAAUACAUGCAAGUCGAGCGAACAGAUGAGGAGCUUGCUCCUCUGACGUUAGCGGCGGACGGGUGAGUAACACGUGGAUAACCUACCUAUAAGACUGGGAUAACUUCGGGAAACCGGAGCUAAUACCGGAUAAUAUAUUGAACCGCAUGGUUCAAUAGUGAAAGACGGUUUUGCUGUCACUUAUAGAUGGAUCCGCGCCGCAUUAGCUAGUUGGUAAGGUAGCGGCUUACCAAGGCAACGAUGCGUAGCCGACCUGAGAGGGUGAUCGGCCACACUGGAACUGAGACACGGUCCAGACUCCUACGGGAGGCAGCAGUAGGGAAUCUUCCGCAAUGGGCGAAAGCCUGACGGAGCAACGCCGCGUGAGUGAUGAAGGUCUUCGGAUCGUAAAACUCUGUUAUUAGGGAAGAACAAAUGUGUAAGUAACUAUGCACGUCUUGACGGUACCUAAUCAGAAAGCCACGGCUAACUACGUG